rnacentral:snRNA from 1 species
AGGAGGGCGCGGCGGUCG